UGUUGCUACCUACAGCGACGUUUGCAAUCUGAAGAGGCUUUGGAGAGCACGGAGACUAUGAAAUGGAUAGCAUUUGCAGCUAUUUUUGAUUUGAUCUGCCCCCUCUUAGGAAGAGGCUUUCUGCUUCUUAAGCAUUUGGGGAUUUCAGUGGCGGGAACAUCAGACAUCUUACUAUUCAUUUUGGAAGCUAAGGAAAAUUGCAAUAUUUUUCUCUAGAAGAUUUUUUGUUUGAUGGACGUCGAUACAGUGGCAUUGGCCGGUGUUUAUAUAGCAACCCCAGCUCAUUAUAUGAUCCCAAGAAUGGGGAUCGAUUGACCCGGGAAGGUCAGAGAAAGCUAGAAACAAGCUUUCAACGACUGAAGUUUGUUAGGGGGCAUGACAGCAAGAUUGUUUGGCUGUGCCAAGAUUCCUUUCAGCCCAACUUGAGGUCUUGCUGAUGAAAAUGAGUCUGUACGUGAGGCAGCUCUAGGUGCAGGGCAUAUUCUGGUUGAGCAUUACGCAACAAUGUAAGCACUGCCCUGGUUGAUCAUUGUGAUGUCUCUCGAAUGAAUUGUUUGUUGGAGCCGGCGCCUUCUGAUCACUCUUCCUCGUCCUCCAGAGCACAUUAG